rnacentral:lncRNA from 1 species
UUUACGCCUGCGCAAAAAGCUUGAUCUUUUUCUAGCCCACCCCGUUGUGUUUUAGCGCGUGUAUCCCGUGCCGGCUUGACAUUUCGCUAAGCUUGCGAUAUUUAGCUCUACGAACUUACUACAAAACAGAGGGUCUGUCGACAGAACUAAGUAAACACAGGAAUGAGAACAAGACUUGUGGAAUAAAAUUCGACGGGAUUCUGUCGUGAAGGAUUCCAGGUCAAAACUAAACAAUAGAGACUUUGAUCGAAAUCGGAAACGGUGCCGGAAAAGCUUAGCCCCUGCAAACUGAGAUGUUCGUCACGCAAAAACAGCUCAUGGUUAUGCCAUCGAACGAAAGAGUCAGCAAGGUUUGAACACCAAACACAAGACAACAGCAACUUCCCGUUCAGCAGGUUCAAGGUAAGUCGUAAUAUGCGUGAUUAGUUAUUUCUCGCGUCUGUCGGAGCUUAACAGUAAUAUUUCUCAGUCUAGGGUGAAGCUACCAGAAAUAUUCCUACUAUACUCCACUCAUGUAGGAAGAGCAAUUCUGUGUCAAUACUUUGGAAUUGCCGGGGUCGCUCGGAUCGAAAAUCCUGUGGCCCCCACUUUUCAGGGCAUAGUUAGGUAAGGAAGAGAGUAGUGAGAAUGAAAACACCAUGUCCUGCAACCUGUUUUGAGGAGCUGUACUUUAAACCAGUUUACCGCGCCUCCGUGCAGCAUACCCUAAUACUAUAAGACAUAAAAUUGGUGAUUGCAGAUUGUAUUCAGAUGACUGCUAGACUGCCUUAACUUGCUCACAUGGUUGAGCUUCUCGUAGCUUCUUGUAGUUCGCUUCUUGCGCUCCCAGUCUCUUUCACGAAAAUGUAUCUGAUUUUUUGAAAGUGUGUGCGAGUAAAAAACUGUACUGACAAAUGAUAUAUGCAAUCUGAAAUCAAGUCUCCUUUUGAUAAUGGGAACCACUGCAGUAGUUAAGAUUACAGGAAUCAAUUUACGUGUACCCGUGUACCCGUCAAUAACCACUGACUACUUCCUUGGAAAUGUAUUCAUCAUGUUGCGUGAAUUAGAAGUUAACCAAGAGACAAAGAUUGUCAUAGUUUUUUCGCUUGGGUAUGCUUCUUCUAUUGCUUAGGGUCUGAAAGCUUCGAGAUGUAAGUCCCAGUUGUAACAGAUAUAAGUUCACAACACAUUAAGACUUAUCUUUAUGCCCAAUCAGGAUCAGUGCACACAGGCCGUGAGUUCUCGCAUUUUGUACGCAAAGGCUGGUUAUUUCAGUUUGAAGUUUCAUAGAUCUGUUUGUCCCACAGCAAACUAUACGGCCAGCAACAGUUACAUUUUUAAACAAUACUUUUCUUAAUAACAAUUUAAAAAAGGUCUGAACAGCAGGAAAGUUUUAGAAAUAAAGCGACACUUUUUAAAUGUAAAAAUUCGUUUCGGUAGAAACUUCUGCCUUCUUCUGUGCAAAUAUUACAGAAGGCGCAAAUUGAAUAUAAACAACUAGUACAUGCUGAUGAGUACGUACUCAAAGUAGAAACUAAAAACGUGCGGAUUACAAAGAUAAGCUUAAAUUAACUUGUUGAGGUUGCUGAUUAAGGGAGGGAUUUAAUUUCCCACAGGAUGUGCAAAGCUUCCUCUAUCUUGAGCUGUAAUGUAGUGCCAGCUUGAUCAAUUUGCGCUGAAGAAAGCAAUUUUUUUUCUAAUAAUGCAGACUCCUUCCCUUUCGGUUUCCUUGAAAUGCUUUAUUUAUUAGAGAAUUCUCACCGAAAGUUCUUAAAAACAUUAUUUGAUUAACAGGCAACGCCACUUUUUCCUCUAAUAUUUAGACCUUCGUUGUUUAGCGUAGAUUUGUUUUCCGAUCGCACUUUAAAACAGAUCAGUACGAACAUGAAAAGUGUUGGUUUCUGAUACCAAAAUCUGCAAGAUAAUGAACACCAUCCCGUCCGUUUCAUACGAGAAUCUCCACCCCCCAUCACCACGAAUAUACCAGCACAGAGCAAAUGAAACUUAAGGUGCGCGGGGGGAGAGGGUAUUUCAAAGAGGACUAAACUUUCUGAGCAAUGAAAGAAAAUAAAAGGAUUCUAAAAUAUAAGGAGAAUGAAGCAGUCGAAUAUCGAAUCCUUUAUUCAAAGGUUAGUCAGAUAACAUGCUAGGACAUUUCACUCGUUGCUAGCAAUACCAUACAGUUUUUAGAAUAUCCACUCGGGGUGUAUUCGCCUGCAAACAGGUUCAAAUCCACCCAACCUUAGAGCUAGCUAGCGGCUUCAUCCUAAUUUGCCCCGAGGCGUAUGAGAGUUUGUUCAUAGGCUAGGGGCGUGCCAUCUGUCAAACCGCGGAAUAAGCUGUAUUUAUGGUAAUUUUCAUUUCACCGUAUUUAACACCAAACCAAGAUGUUGUAAUAAAACAAUACACCGUAAUUAAUAUUCCACGAGAAGAAUAUUGUCCUGUUUUCUAAGCCGCUCGCUAAAUAUCAUUGCUAGAAUAAUAAACUAUUUGCCUUGAGUACAUUUGAUUUCUUCAAAUAUUGUUUCUCGUCUAUAGUCGGACUAAAUCUGGUUGGUUUAAAAUUCCUUAUAAACUAACAGCUGAUGACAUGUCAAAUUUGAAUUAAGGAGUGACAUUUAUUUGUAAAUGCUGCAGCUUUGAGACAAUAUUAAAAGUGUUUUGGGAAAGCUUUCUAAAAUUGAUAUUGCGUCGUAAUCACACUAUAUAAAAUUUCCCUUUCGGAAAGAAAAACUUCGAGACAAUAUAUAGCUCGCCUGACGGGAAAAACACAUAAACAUUGUUAAUAAAGCGACAGCAAGAUAUCGUAAAAGUGGCCGGCUGACAUCGAAGAAGAUUCAGGUGAAUUGCAGGCAGCGACAUUGAAAAAAAAUUAAGAUAAUUUGUUGAAAGCUGAAAAAUUUGCGUUUUGUUUCCUAAGUUUUUAAUUCAAGAACCGUUUUUUUUUUUUUUUUUUUUUCAUUUUUAAUUCCUGCAAAUUUGCUUUUUGAUUUUCUUUUUGUGUUUUCUGUGACCAUGCAGAAUGCAAGCUAUAAUUUUGCCUGCGCGUGUUGGUUCAAAUUUACACAGAUAAUAAUAUAAUACAAAUUCGAUUUUUCGCUGAUUGGCUUAAGAGCGCUAGCUAUCGUUAUUUAUUUUUUCAAAUAUAACAAAGUGAAACAUGUCGUUCGUAGUAGUAAGAUGAAGCAUACGAGGAUAUCAAAACCACCUAAUGCCCUGCCAGAAAAAAAAAAAAAGGCUUUUUCAUAACACUUGACAAAUCGAGAAAACACUUCCCUGCGGCAUGUUUAUUUCACGUUCUCUUGCGUCUCAAAUUUCCGUCGCAGUUAAUGACAACAUAAUGUAUGACUUUGACCUCCUUUCGUGGAAGUUACUAAUUAAAUAUCCUUUUCUUAAAACAUUAACAUAUAAUAGGUAGUAUCUGUGAAAAUCUAAAAUGCAACUCCCUAAGCUGUAACAAAAAACGAUUUUUUUUUUUUUCUGUUCUACUCAGAAAGACACGCACAAUUGUUUAGAUACAGGGACCUUGUGGCCAGUUUACUCUCUUUUUUAUAAGAAUAUAUUUUAUAAGA